GGUGUCCGUUACACUGGGGUAGAGGAGUGGAAGUGGGCAGGUUUAUAUAGCACCCAGCGCCCCUCCCUCCUUCUCCACACUCCAUCAUGGCGAUGCAUAACAAGGCCACAACGCCGCAGAUUCCAGAUACGCGCCGGGAACUGGCUGAGCUAGUGAAGCGGAAACAAGAACUGGCGGAGACCUUGGCAAAUCUAGAACGUCAGAUCUAUGCUUUUGAAGGAAGUUAUCUGGAAGAUACCCAGAUGUAUGGGAACAUCAUCAGAGGAUGGGACCGUUACUUAACAAAUCAAAAGAACUCAAACAGUAAGAACGACAGAAGAAAUCGAAAGUUUAAAGAAGCAGAAAGACUUUUUAGUAAAUCUUCAGUAACUUCUGCAGCUGCUGUAAGUGCAUUGGCUGGAGUACAAGACCAAAUGAUCGAUAAACGAGAGCCAGGCAGUGGAACAGAGAGUGACAAUUCCCCAGACUUUCAGAAUCAGGAGAAUGAGCCUAGUCAGGAUGAUACAGAAGAUCUAGAUGGUUCCCUGUCAGGAGUCAAGCCUCAGAAAGCUGCAUCUUCGGCCAACUCUGGAGGACAUCACAGCAGUCACAAGAAACGCAAGAAUAAAAACCGGCACAGUCCAUCUGGCAUGUAUGAUUAUGACUUCGAUCUCUCUAUCUCCCGUUCCAGCACCGAGUGAUGCCUGCGGCCUAUGCUCAUGUGAUUGACCUCAAACUGAACAAAAAGCCCAGAUCAGAUUAUUAGUUUUGGUUACCUCUUCAAGCAAGACUUUCAAGAGAACAAACUUCCAGACCAAGGAUUUUCACUGUUAUUUCAACUAAGACAACAGCAUGUGUUCCUACAUUUAGCAAUUGUCAUGGUUUUUAAUGGAUACAGGCAAAGUUAUAGUAUGUGUAAACAGAUGCUUUCUAUGUGCCCUUGUUGCUUUUUGUUUCAAGCUCUGUUCACAGCUAUGUGAAUGAAAAUCUGCUAAUGCUACUUGUGGCUUUCUUUGAACCAACAGUCUGGUAUUUUGCUUCAGAGUUGAAUAGAAGCAGAUGGGGCAUGUCCUACUUCACCCCUUUUGGACACUGCACAGUGGCAAUCCCUUCUAAGCCAGAUUAAUGCUAGGUUUUGCAUUGUUUGAUUUUCAUUCACCUGCCUGUUAAGGUAAUACCUAAUGAAAGUGCCAGUUUACACAUACCUUUACUCUA